rnacentral:rRNA from 1 species
AGCGAACGCUGGCGGCGUACUUAACACAUGCAAGUCGAGCGGUAAGGCCCUUUCGGGGGUACACGAGCGGCGAACGGGUGAGUAACACGUGGGUGACCUGCCCUCAGCUCUGGGAUAAGCCUGGGAAACCGGGUCUAAUACUGGAUAUGACUCCAUGACGCAUGUUGUGGGGUGGAAAGCCUUGUGCGGCUGAGGAUGGGCCCGCGGCCUAUCAGCUUGUUGGUGGGGUGANGGCCUACCAAGGCGACGACGGGUAGCCGGCCUGAGAGGGCGACCGGCCACACUGGGACUGAGACACGGCCCAGACUCCUACGGGAGGCAGCAGUGGGGAAUCUUGCGCAAUGGGCGAAAGCCUGACGCAGCGACGCCGCGUGAGGGAUGACGGCCUGGUGU